rnacentral:rRNA from 1 species
UGUUUCGGCAAGGGGGUCAUCCCGACUUACCAACCCGAUGCAAACUGCGAAUACCGGAGAAUGUUAUCACGGGAGACACACGGCGGGUGCUAACGUCCGUCGUGAAGAGGGAAACAACCCAGACCGCCAGCUAAGGUCCCAAAGUCAUGGUUAAGUGGGAAACGAUGUGGGAAGGCCCAGACAGCCAGGAUGUUGGCUUAGAAGCAGCCAUCAUUUAAAGAAAGCGUAAUAGCUCACUGGUCGAGUCGGCCUGCGCGGAAGAUGUAACG